rnacentral:ncRNA from 1 species
AUUGUGAUGGUCCUUGCGAAUGUUGACACAAUCUGGUUUUCAAAGUUAAGAAAUUCAACCAAGCACGGGUAAAUGUCGGGAGUAACUACGAAUCUCUUAAGAUAGCCAAAUGCCUCACCAUCUAUUUAGUGAUGCACAUUAAUGGAUUAACGAGUUUCCCAUUGUCCCUAUCUACUAUAUAGAGAAACCACAACCAAGGUAACGGGCUUGGCAUAAUCAACGAGGAAAUAAGACCUUGUUGAGCUUGAUUCUAGUCUGACUUUGUGAAAUGACUUGAGAGUUGUAGAAUAAGUGGGAUCCUUUUUAGGUGCAAGUGAAAUACCACUACUUUUAAUGUUAUUUUUCUUAUUUUGUGGGGUAGAGAUGGGGCAUUGCCCCUGUUUUUGGCCAUAAGACACAUUUCAGUAGGUUGAUCUGGGAGGAAGGUAUUGUCAGGUGGGGAGUUUGGUUGGGACGACACAUCUGUUAAAAGAUAACGCAGGUGUCCUAAGAUGAGCUCAACGAGAACAAAAAUCUAGUGUGAAAUUAAAGUGUAAAAUAUCAUUUGAUUUUCCACCAACCUCUUGAUCCUUAUAAUUCAUUGAUGGAUAUGAAUUAAUACAUCAAUUAUAUGUUUGCAUGCAUCAACAUAGUUAAUUUAAAAUAAUAAUUGCUUGAGUAAUAUUAAGUGGCCAAUGGCGCAUCUGGAGGAAUGGUUCAUGCAACCCUAGGAGAGGAUAGGCUAAUAGGACUAGAGAUUUAUGGAGGGAGUAUAACUAUCUAAUUAAUGUUAAUCGCACUCACCAAUGAAUAACAACCAACUUUUGACAUGUAAGGAAGUUAUUGGGCUUAAUUUGAACCUUUCAUUUAUGAGGACGAUGAAGAAUAUUCCAUUUCUAUUAAAUGAAAGAAGAUGCAUCAUUAAUAUAGAAAUGUUUAGGACUAUUUGAUUUGU